rnacentral:rRNA from 1 species
UGGGGAAUUUUGGACAAUGGGCGAAAGCUGAUCCAGCCAAUGCCGCGUGUGUGAAGAAGGCCUUCGGGUUGUAAAGCACUUUUGUCCGGAAAGAAAUCCUUGGCUCUAAUACAGUCGGGGGAUGACGGUACCGGAAGAAUAAGCACCGGCUAACUACGUGCCAGCAGCCGCGGUAAUACGUAGGGUGCAAGCGUUAAUCGGAAUUACUGGGCGUAAAGCGUGCGCAGGCGGUUUGCUAAGACCGAUGUGAAAUCCCCGGGCUCAACCUGGGAACUGCAUUGGUGACUGGCAGGCUAGAGUAUGGCAGAGGGGGGUAGAAUUCCACGUGUAGCAGUGAAAUGCGUAGAGAUGUGGAGGAAUACCGAUGGCGAAGGCAGCCCCCUGGGCCAAUACUGACGCUCAUGCACGAAAGCGUGGGGAGCAAACAGGAUUAGAUACCCUGGUAGUCCACGCCCUAAACGAUGUCAACUAGUUGUUGGGGAUUCAUUUCCUUAGUAACGUAGCUAACGCGUGAAGUUGACCGCCUGGGGAGUACGGUCGCAAGAUUAAAACUCAAGGAAUUGACGGGGUCAUAGCUG